AUUGAACGCUGGCGGCAUGCCUUACACAUGCAAGUCGAACGGCAGCACGGGUGCUUGCACCUGGUGGCGAGUGGCGAACGGGUGAGUAAUACAUCGGAACGUACCUUAUCGUGGGGGGAUAACGCAGCGAAAGUUGCGCUAAUACCGCAUACGCCCUGAGGGGGAAAGCGGGGGACCGUAAGGCCUCGCGCGAUUAGAGCGGCCGAUGUCUGAUUAGCUUGUUGGUGAGGUAAAAGCUCACCAAGGCGAUGAUCAGUAGCUGGUCUGAGAGGACGAUCAGCCACACUGGGACUGAGACACGGCCCAGACUCCUACGGGAGGCAGCAGUGGGGAAUUUUGGACAAUGGGGGCAACCCUGAUCCAGCAAUGCCGCGUGAGUGAAGAAGGCCUUCGGGUUGUAAAGCUCUUUUGUCAGGGAAGAAACAGCAGCUCUAACACAGACUGCGAAUGACGGUACCUGAAGAAUAAGCACCGGCUAACUACGUGCCAGCAGCCGCGGUAAUACGUAGGGUGCGAGCGUUAAUCGGAAUUACUGGGCGUAAAGCGUGCGCAGGCGGUUAUACAAGACAGGCGUGAAAUCCCCGGGCUUAACCUGGGAAUGGCGUCUGUGACUGUAUAGCUAGAGUGUGUCAGAGGGGGGUGGAAUUCCACGUGUAGCAAGUGAAAUGCGUAGAUAUGUGGAGGAACACCAAUG
rnacentral:rRNA from 1 species